AUUUUAGAAAUGGAGAAAACAAGACUCGGAAGCUAAAUGACUAGUCCAGGAUGAUACAGCUAAGGAAACUGAGGCCCAGAGAGGCAGAGCCUUGACAUAUAUUUAGCCUGAUAACCACUGAAAAAGGGAAAGACUGAGCCUACAUUCAAUUCGGAAAAUGAUUGGAUCAGAGGUUCGAUGAUACGUUUUCAGCGAGUAGCCCCGAUCAAGAGGAUGGUGAUCGAAAUAUGUGUGACAGUAUCAGCAAGGAGCCAGUCCCUUGCUGUUCCACAAAAGCCAUAAUCCCAGUAACGACGAUUUCUUCUUGUAACAAAGAAGACAGUAAAAUCAAAGGGGAAAUAUUCAAAGUGGAAUGAAAGGAAUUGGCACCAGAAAAGACGAUGUGGUGACUGGAGAAAAAUAGGAAAAGAUUUUAGAAGUUCUCCGUUGUGGGGGGACUCUACAAUCACUGGCUUUGUCUCUUAUCCAGUUUCCUUCCCUAUUGUACUAACCCUGUGCUUCCUGGAUGUCUGCUGGAAACCAGCAGAAAGAGGAAAGGUUUCCACAUGCUAAUAUGUAAAUCCAAGCAGCCUGUGUCCGCGUGGAGCAACCAGUGACUCAGUAAUGCUCAAAAGCAAGGUCAGAGGCAAAGCAAACCUUGCCUUCCCCCAGAUGCUUGGUGACCGUGUUCUAGUAAUCCACCCUGAAAGUUAGUGCCUGAGGGCAAGUAUGCGGCAGAGAACAGCCGGCACAGAAACACUUCAGUUCGUGCAGCGGAAAAGACAGAGGGUCAGAAGUUCUAAAUCUUGGACACCACUCUACCAGCACCGAGCUCUGAUUUUGGACAAGUUCUUCAUCCUCUCCCUUUAUAGAAUGAAGACGUUGAACACGACUAAGCUCCCUUGC